CCUACGGGCGGCAGCAGUGAGGAAUAUUGGUCAAUGGACGAGAGUCUGAACCAGCCAAGUAGCGUGAAGGAUGACUGCCCUAUGGGUUGUAAACUUCUUUUAUAUGGGAAUAAAAUGUUCCACGUGUGGGAUUUUGUAUGUACCAUAUGAAUAAGGAUCGGCUAACUCCGUGCCAGCAGCCGCGGUAAUACGGAGGAUCCGAGCGUUAUCCGGAUUUAUUGGGUUUAAAGGGAGCGUAGGUGGAUUGUUAAGUCAGUUGUGAAAGUUUGCGGCUCAACCGUAAAAUUGCAGUUGAAACUGGCAGUCUUGAGUACAGUAGGGGUGGGCGGAAUUCGUGGUGUAGCGGUGAAAUGCUUAGAUAUCACGAAGAACUCCGAUUGCGAAGGCAGUUCACUGGACUGCAACUGACACUGAGUCUCGAAAGUGUGGGUAUCAAACAGGAUUAGAUACCCCUGUAGUC
rnacentral:rRNA from 1 species